UUAGUGGGUGACUUCUUUCACUUACUGCAGUGUUUUCAGGGUUUAUCCCUGUCGUAUCAGAUAGCAAUAUCUAACUCAUUUUUAUGGCUGAAUAAUAUCUCAUGGUAAAGUUCACAAUGGACAUUUAUCUAUAUCAUCAAGGAUUUCAAUGUGUUGUCCACAUCUGGGCUGAAGAACAAAACUGGCCUCACUUCUCCGAGUUUAAGCUUGCCAUAUUGAAGGCGCUUUGGUGCAAUGGAAAAAGGACCAAACUGGGAAACAGACCAUUUAGACACCAUCUCAUCAACCACCAACCAGAUGUCUAACAAGAAAGAACGUGACCAAAAAGCAUG